rnacentral:tRNA from 4 species
GCCGACGUGGUGAAAUUGGUAUACACGUACGCUUGAGGUGCGUAUGCCGCAAGGUGUGGAGGUUCAAGUCCUCUCGUCGGCACAA